CAGAGGGAUACGCGGGAUCUCUCAUCAAAAGAGCUUCUUUUGGGGGCAAACAUAUGCUCUGCAUAAUGCCCCUCCAAGAUGAGUUGGAUUUAACACUGUUGCCUGCAGAUUCACCUGAAUUUGCUCUUAUGCCAAAAGCAGCUUGUAAGAAAUGCAAUGCUUCAAUGCCUCUGCAAAUGCUGACUUUGCACAUUGAACAAUGCAGUGAAUUAUCAAGCUCUGAUAGUGAGAACACAGAUGUGAUGUACAUAGAGAACACUGAAUCAAGUUCAGCAUCUACUACCACAGUAGCAUGCUCAGAAACACCCGGGCCCACUGAUCAGCAUCAUUCUCAUAUGACAGAUGAAAUUAAAUGUCCAUUAUGCAACAAACUGUUUCCCUUGUUAGACAUUGAAGUACAUGCCAGCUGCUGUAGAG